GGGAAGGCGGGGGAAGCAGUGGCGUGAAUAUGGAGGGUGGAAGCGUUAUCCGGAUGCACUGGGGUUAAAGGGGGCGGAGGGGGGCAAUUAAGGCAGUGGUGAAAUAUCCGGGCUUAACCCGGAAACUGCCAUUGAUACUAUUUGUCUUGAAUACUGUGGAGGUCAGCGGAAUAUGUCAUGUAGCGGUGUAAUGCUUAGAUAUGACAUAGAACACCAAUUGCGAAGGCAGCUGGCUACACAAAUAUUGACACUGAGGCACGAAAGCGUGGGGAUCAAACAGGAUUAGAUACCCCAGUAGUC
rnacentral:rRNA from 1 species